GUCUUUGCACAGUGGUACUUUCAUAACCAGUGAAGUUUAUCUGAGGUGUGAGUAUUACUAAUUGAAAACUAAAAUAGAAGUGAUCGAGGAAUUUUAAGACAAUAUACAUUUAU
ensembl:snRNA U4 U4 spliceosomal RNA